ACUGCCGUACGGAAAGGCUAACGGAAACAGAGGCUGCAGCCACAGCCCAGGAACGGUGGUCUUUCGCACACAUGGGGCAGCCUCUGCCACAACUUUUUCUUCCAAGGAAAUCAACACAAAUGAAAACUGGCUGAUGCUCUGGUCCACCAGAGGCUGAAGAAGAAAACCGCAAAAUGGAGACUGCCCAAUUCUAAUUUAAUUCAGAAGAACAAACAGGGCAUCACUCAGCGGACUUCAAAUCCCCAGUCAGAAGAUUUUGCCCGUGGAGCAAAUCGUUUCAUGGGCCAUCUACCCCACCUACUCCCUCCUGCCACAGCAAGGAGGUGAAAAUAGCUCAUGAAGCCAUGGUUGAAGGAAGAGAAGCUAAGAGGAUGAAAUAGGAAUUCAAAGUGCAAGUCCAUCAUACCAAAGAGCUGUCUCAAUUACAUCCUGACCCCUUUUAGUAAUGUGGCCAGGGGUGUGCUUGCAGUUGGUUUAGUCCCCUGACAUUUCACCACCUCCAAGAUAGGCCUGGGACUGCUGAGACCCCAGUGGUAACCAAACCAAGGAUCCUGAGAACUUCCCAGUGCCCAAGCUGGCAAACAAAAGAACAUGAGUGUUGUUUGGGUUAGAGAUGAGAAGAGUCCAGGCUUCAGUUACAGACAGACCGGGGUUCUUCCUAGCUAAACUCUGGAUGUGUUUCUUUACUGCUCUGAGCUUGAGCUUGCCUUCAAAUGGUGGUGGGCAUGACAGCCAAUCCAACUAUCCUGUAGUGAGCACUUACUAGAUGCCAGGAACUCUUCCACAUGACACCCAGGGGCUCUAAUCCUCAUAGUAACCUCAAAGGGAGGCACUAGUGUUAUCCUCCAUUGUAGAUAAUCAGGCUGGAAACCCAAGCCUACUGCCUGUGGUGCUGUAGGAAGCACGCAGAGUGUUUAUGACACACUUAGCACAAAGCCUUCACUCAUAGUGGCUUUUCAACAAAGAAUUCAAGGAUUAUUCUUAUCAAUAGUGGCAACAUUUUUGCAGAGGGCACCCAAUCAGCACACAGUCAUACAGAACACAGACUGUAAUAAGCACUUCUCAUUGUCCUGGCCUUCUACACACCAUUCUUUUAGCAUCUGAGUUUGUUAUCAGUGGCCUAGCACUAAUGGCAGCACCCCUAAACCAAGGCUUUAUUUGGACAGCAAUCUUCUGUGUAGCUGGCAAAGCCUCUUCUGCAAAGCACUGCUUUGAGUUCUGAUUUUUAAUUCCGAACACUGCAUGGUAUCGUUGUGAUAAUGGGAAAUGUUGAAGUGCUGUCAUUAGGUACUUCUACGUCAUAUCAGAUAAACAGAAUUCAGACACAAGCACUAAGGUAAAGCUUUAUUGGAUGGAUCAUCUUUUUUUUUAAGUGAUGGAAAUAUAUCAACUCUAAACUCUG
ensembl:lncRNA LINC02097 long intergenic non-protein coding RNA 2097